rnacentral:tRNA from 1 species
UCUCUGAUAGUAUAUCGGUUAGUACACGCGCCUGUCAUGGGAACGCGCGAAAGCUGGGUUCGACUCCCAGUCAGAGAG